GAUGAAGAACGCAGCGAAAUGCGAUAAGUAGUGUGAAUUGCAGAAUUCAGUGAAUCAUCGAAUCUUUGAACGCACAUUGCGCCCUUUGGUAUUUCAAAGGGCAUGCCUGUUCGAGCGUCAUUUGUACCCUCAAGCUUUGCUUGGUGUUGGGCGUCUUGUCUCUAGCUUUGCUGGAGACUCGCCUUAAAGUAAUUGGCAGCCGGCCUACUGGUUUCGGAGCGCAGCACAAGUCGCACUCUCUAUCAGCAAAGGUCUAGCAUCCAUUAAGCCUUUUUUUCAACUUUUGACCUCGGAUCAGGUAGGGAUACCCGCUGAACUUAAGCAUAUCAAUAAGCGGAGGA
rnacentral:misc_RNA from 1 species